CUCGCCCCGCGCCCUUCGCGCCGCCGGAAGUGCAGGCCGAGCCGUUCGCCUGCGCCGCGCGGUCGCUCUAGGAUCCUGGCGGAGUGACCCUCUAUGCUCACGGGCCCAGCGGAAAAAAGCAACUUUUCGUUUCUUCCUGUCGUUUUGUUUUCCUCUCCUACCCCUGGAAGGCGUCCUGUGGCCCCCAGGACCACAAGACCUUUGAGAUGGAGGAGCCACCCACAGGGCCGACGAGCUGCAGCCUGUGUGUCACGGCUUUUGAAACGCAACACCAGCCUAUCCCACCCUGAGACUUCAUUCUUUUACAAAUAUUGUUUAAUUAUUAUAUAGAGGUACUUUUGGAGAGCCUAAACUGUUCCCGAUAUUUUUCAUGAGUCAACUUAUUUGAUUAUACCAAAAAGCCCUUACAAAAUGGGAACGAUCAUACUCAUUUUACAGCCAACCUCCUUCUCCGCCAACCUAACCUGUGCUGGGUCACCCCAUCUCCUCUCUUCUCUCCGGGCCCUCGUUUGCCUGCAGAACUCCUUCAGUCUAAUGGCUUCAGAUACCAUCUGUAGUCGCUGAAGACUCCCUAACUGGUAACUCCAGUCCAACCUUGGGAUGCAAAUAUUACUGAACUCUAGACUUAUAUAUCCAGUUAAUUACUCAAUGCCAUUUGCACGUGUGAUGGACAUCCCGAACCUAACAUACCCCCAGAUAUUCACCUAACCUGAUAGAAGAUCUUUCUGGGAAAACUGGGUCAAGAGAGGCCAGAUCCCUUAAUGGCUGGGGUUCCUCUGGGAAACGGCUCGCAGUGGGGUCCAGUGUGUCCCUGAGCCCAGUUGUAUUUGAAGGGCUCAUUCUAGGAAGAAGAGGCUUCUGGGCUGAGAACAGUCUUGGCAAGACAGCUUCCUUUUACUAUGGCUUUGUCCCUUGCACCCCACUCCCUUGCAGACAGACAGAGACACACACCAAAAAGCACUGUCUCAACAGGGAGCACUGCUGCCUUGGGUCUGCAUUUGGCAACAGUGCAAAAGAAGCCAGUCACAUGUGUGGUCCAAGGGCCAAGUGCAGUAAGCAGCAGUCUGUCUCCCAUGAAGGGCCCCUGAACAAGGGUUCUGUCCACCAAGUCUGAGACUUUGCUUUCUGUUUCCUUUGGGUUCUCUGGGAAAGGAGACUCUGGGAAUUCCCAUUCCUGAGUUUGCAGAAAACAUCUCUGUUAAAAGCCCAGCCAGGAGGGAGCAGAGCCCCACCCGAAUGCUGGGAGUCCAAGGGCGGGUCAGCAGCUGGCUUUCUCCCAGACAAUCACAGCUCAUGGGGGCUAAAUACAGCACUUGUACUUGCUGUUUUUACAUUUGGAAAGGCUUGAGUCCGACUGCCUUUCCUGCCCUAUCAUGGCUGAGGGACUGAGGGGCAGGGAGGCUGCUGCCUAGCAGGGCACCUGACAAAAAUAUCCCACUGCUGCUUUGCAGCUGCAGGGCACCUGUGUCCUGCCCACAUGGGCACAUUGUGUAUUGCCAGCUUCUCCACAGAUCACCUGAUCCGACAGGAUAAGCCUCGUGCUUUGUUUCCCUAGGACUAAGGGGCCAGAUGUAUCCUGGGUGGACAAACAGCAUUAUUUUAACAGUGGGAAGGUCUUUAAUCCAUUUUCUUGUAAACAUUCUAAGCAGGUAGCAUAUGGUUAUCACCAUGGGAAAAACAAGCUCUUUUUUGAUUCCUUCUGGUAAUUUGCUCUGGGCAAAUCACCCUGUUUUUCCUGAGUUCAGAUCUUCUUUUGCAAUCAUGUUGAUUUUAUCCUGUGUUUAUGAUUUUCCCUGGUUCCGGAGGCCUGACCUGGGAAGACCGUCCUGUUUUAGGUGAGGACACUCAUCACAGGAAUUCUUCACUUUAUCUUUGGAUAACAUUUACUACCUGCGAUACCAUGGCCUGGAACCAACCCUGCAACAUCUCUGAGACGUUUUCCAUCAGCUGACAAACCCAGAUCGUUCUGCAUCUGGCCCCAGGGAAUUCAAAGCCCUUUCUCCUCAAACAGACAUUUUUCCCUUGGUGGCCCUUUGAUGGGAAGUAUUGAGAGAGGAGGAACGCACACCCAGAGAGGGCAGGAGGCACACAGGUGUCCGAGGAGAGCAGCAACGGGGCAGAGCGCGGCCUUCCCGAGCCACUGCCGGCGGUCCCUGGACAGCUCCUGGACCCACACGCACCCUGGCAGCAUCCUUUACAAUGCCACGCGGGUCACCUCCUCAAUGUGAUCAAAUUGACAUGUUUCUGGCAGCAAGCUCCUUGUAAGAAUCCCUUCAGGUCUUGCUGAGGAAGCUCAGAGUGAGUGUUGCAGAGAGAAGAUGGGCUGCUGGUGGUCUUACUCCCAGUCUGACCUCUGCUGCCGGGGCACGGGGCUAUGUGAGGCUCAUGGAGUGACAUCAGAGGCUCGAGGGCCAGGGACGCCAUGGUGAAGUGAUGGCUGGGAGCAUCGCACACCCCAUACCCGCUGGCAGCCCUUGCUUUGCCCAGCGGAGUUUCUGAGUGGCAGCAUGAGACGAGGGCAGACGGGGGUCGAGUGGCUCAUGUGUUUGAUGAGGAUAAGGGCUUGUGGUUCUGGGCUGGGCACUGGGAGAGCAGAUGGAGCCCACGCCCUAGCAACAAGGUCAUGUCCUGCUCUCCUGAGCAGGAGACGUGUGGAGUGAACAGAACUGGCCAUGCUAUGCAGCUACAUAAGUGGCCCAUGUCACAGCUUCAGGGCUGCUCACGGCCCAGGCCAGUCUCACACGCAGACCCCACCCAGCAAGUUCCUGGCUCCUCAGGCUUAGAUCUGGGCACUGUGAGUGCUCACCUUGGAGCCAAGAGCCAGGGACAUGGGACUCACGCUACCUAGGCAGGUGGACAGGUAGAAACACGGGUGCUGGAUUCCUCAGCCAGUGUGUCCAAUGUGUGUGACAAUCAGGGCCCGGCCACCAGCGCUCAGAGUGCGCUGGCUGCUGGGGGCUUCGGAAGAGGCAGGUGCUGGUGGGCUACUUGGCCUCCACCAGCUGCUCCAGGCGCUGUAGCAUCGUCAGACGCAGGGCUUGGAACCUGGAGGGAGACACAGCCAAGAGGACUCACUGCUACUGGAGGGGACAGGGAGGGGGCGAGCAAGGGAGCACGUAGAUGCUGGGCCCGGAGACCCACGGCUCCUGACCGGCUGAUUAGUGGCCACUAUGUCUCCUCUGCCAGGAGAGGGAAAAGCCAGGCCCACAUCCCACAAGACCACUGGCUUUGAGGAGCAGUCAAACAGGGCUGCAGAGCCUGCCAAGCUUCGAAGCAGAGUGAUCUUUCUAUUCCAAAGAUUCUCCAGUACAAGAUAUGGGGACAUAUGUAUAUGCAUAGCUGAUUCACUUUGUUAUAAAGCAGAAACUAACACACCAUUGUAAAGCAAUUAUACUCCAAUAAAGAUGUUAAA